ACAAGCGGUGGAGCAUGUGAUUUAAUUCGAAGCAACGCGAAGAACCUUACCAGGCCUUGACAUGCAGAGAACUUUCCAGAGAUGGAUUGGUGCCUUCGGGAACUCUGACACAGGUGCUGCAUGGCUGUCGUCAGCCCGUGUCGUGAGAUGUUGGGUUAAGUCCCGUAACGAGCGCAACCCUUGUCCUUAGUUACCAGCACGUUAUGGUGGGCACUCUAAGGAGACUGCCGGUGACAAACCGGAGGAAGGUGGGGAUGACGUCAAGUCAUCAUGGCCCUUACGGCCUGGGCUACACACGUGCUACAAUGGUCGGUACAAAGGGUUGCCAAGCCGCGAGGUGGAGCUAAUCCCAUAAAACCGAUCGUAGUCCGGAUCGCAGUCUGCAACUCGACUGCGUGAAGUCGGAAUCGCUAGUAAUCGUGAAUCAGAAUGUCACGGUGAAUACGUUCCCGGGCCUU
rnacentral:rRNA from 1 species